AUUGAACGCUGGCGGCAGGCCUAACACAUGCAAGUCGAACGAGUGGCGGACGGGUGAGUAAUGUCUGGGAAACUGCCUGAUGGAGGGGGAUAACUACUGGACACGGUAGCUAAUACCGCAUACUCUCAUAUGUGCCCAGAUGGGUUUAGCUUGUUGGUGGGGUAAGGGCUCACCAAGGCCACGAUCCCUAGCUGGUCUGAGAGGAUGACCAGCCACACUGGAACUGAGACACGGUCCAGACUCCUACGGGAGGCAGCAGUGGGGAAUAUUGCACAAUGGGCACAAGCCUGAUGCAGCCAUGCCGCGUGUAUGAAGAAGGCCUUCGGGUUGUAAAGUACUUUCAGCGGGGAGGCGUUACCCGCAGAAGAAGCACCGGCUAACUCCGUGCCAGCAGCCGCGGUAAUUC
rnacentral:rRNA from 1 species